GGUGGAUUGAAAAGUAUCCCACAUCGGAAAGAGGUAAGGAGGGGGGGAAGCCUUAUAAGGGCAAGCCCCAAGAGACCACAGUAGACGCGUUUUGAGGGGAAGGAUGCGGGGGAAGGACGCUGGGCGUGAACCCUUAGAAACAAAACCGUGAGGGGAAGGCUGGGCCAAGGCCCUCGAACCCAAAGCGGACAAUAUCUACUGUUGUGGGCUCAGAGGAUGUUACAA
rnacentral:lncRNA from 1 species